rnacentral:ncRNA from 1 species
UUCAGGAAAAGGCAAACUGCGGGAAACUGCAGGACGCAAAGCUACAGGGCCUGUUUAGGGCAGCCAGUUACCGAU